AAAAAACGAAUUAAUCUUUUAUGUAAAUCGAUCUAUUAUAAAAUAAUUUUUUAAACGCAUCACAUUUUGUCUUUUUAUAGUAUAAAGAAUAGAGGUGUUGGCACUACGUUGAGCCAAGAAAAUUUUCCGUCUGGCAAUAAUCGAUAUUUACUAUUAGAUAUUUCCAAGAAAACACGAAACGUGCAUAAAAACAUCGAUCAUGUUAUUUAUUCAGAAAAAAAAGAAAUAAUGGAGAAAAAAAAAUGAAAAAUGCAACAUCUGAUAAUUUAAACAAUCGAAUUUCUCGAGAGAGAUCAUUAAGAAUUACGAUGAUUUGUUUUUAUGUAACGUGUUAAUGUGUUAUAUGACUUAGAUGAUUGAUUUUAAAAUUUUCGAUAUUUUUACUAACUUUUAUGCUUGUUUUAAUUUCAUUAAAUAUUAAUUCUCAAAGAUAUUUUAUACUUAUAUAUUAACACUUUAUAUAUACGAAGUAAUCACAUUGAAUUAAUCAAUAUUGAUAAAAUAUUCGAGUCACUCGACUGUUUUAAUUGUUAAUCGUAAAAUAAAUCCAAAUAUUUAUUUAUUUAAUACACAAUAAUGGCAUCGUAAUAGUUAAAAAUUUUAUAUAUUUUAUACACAAUGCAUUAUAAACAAAUAUGAGCCACAUAUCAAACAAGUUGAGAAACGCUGGUUUAUAUUUACACGAAAGAUAUAUCGUUGUGUAAAAUACUCAAUGUAUUCACUUAGUGAAAUAAGGUAAAUGCGUCGUUAAAAAAUGAAAAGAAGAAAUAUAAAGGAUACAUGAUGCAAUUCGUCGUUCACAGUGUACGGAUGAUCUGCAUAAGUAUCAAUUAUGUGAAAACGAUGUUAAACAGAAGAUGUAAAUUUUCGUGCGUUGAUUAACGAUCUUCAAAAUUGAAAAGAAAAAUUUAUUUUUUAUUUUGGUUGUUGUAAGCAAUUGCAUAACAAAUGUGUUCAUGAAUACUGUCUGAAAUUAAUAAUUGGAUUCGUCCGUACAUACGUUUGUGUGUACAUCCGUCACAUUGAUGCAAUUUUACCGACGCAGGAGGAGAAACGGAAUACGAGCAGAAGGUGGAGGU